rnacentral:misc_RNA from 1 species
UCGUAAAACCGAGGUGCGAGGGCUGUCGCUGACCUUUUGGUCGUGCACGCCCGAGCGCUCUCACACAAUCCAUCUCACCCCUUUGUGCACCACCGCGUGGGUCCCUCUCUGGUUCGUCCCGAGGGGGGCUUGCGUUUUCACACAAACUUGAAGCAAUGUAGAAUGUCUCUUUUUUUGCGAUAACACGCAAUCAAUA